GAUGAACGCUGGCGGCGUGCCUAAUACAUGCAAGUCGAGCGAACGGACGAGAAGCUUGCUUCUCUGAUGUUAGCGGCGGACGGGUGAGUAACACGUGUAUAACCUACCUAUAAUACUUGUAUAACUUCGGGAAACCGGAGCUAAUACCGGUUAAUAUUUUGAACCUCAUGGUUCAAAAGUUAAAUACGGUCUUUCUUUCUCUUAUAGAUGUAUCCGCUCUGCAUUAUCUAGUUGGUAAGGUAACGGCUUACCAAGGCAACGAUGCAUAUCCGACCUGAGAGGGUGAUCGGCCAAACUGGAAGUGAGAAACGGUAAAGACGCCUACGGGAGGAAGCAGUAGGGAAUAGUCCGCAAUGGGAGAAAGAAUGACGGAGCAACGCCGAGUGAGUGAUGAAGGUCUUCGGAUCGUAAAACUCUGUUAUUAGGGAAGAACAAAUGUGUAAGUAACUGUGCACAUCAUGACGGUACCUAAUCAGAAAGCAACGGCUAACUACGUC
rnacentral:rRNA from 1 species